rnacentral:rRNA from 1 species
UCGGUGACAGGUGCUGCAUGGCUGUCGUCAGCUCGUGUCGUGAGAUGUUGGGUUAAGUCCCGCAACGAGCGCAACCCUCGUCCUUAGUUGCCAGCAUUCAGUUGGGCACUCUAAGGAGACUGCCGGUGUUAAACCGGAGGAAGGUGGGGAUGACGUCAAGUCCUCAUGGCCUUUAUGACCAGGGCUACACACGUACUACAAUGGCCGAUACAAAGGGCAGCGACACUGCGAGGUGAAGCCAAUCCCGUAAAAUCGGUCUCAGUCCGGAUUGGAGUCUGCAACUCGACUCCAUGAAGUUGGAAUCGCUAGUAAUCGUGGAUCAGCAUGCCACGGUGAAUACGUUCCCGGGCCUU